AUUGAACGCUGGCGGCAGGCCUAACACAUGCAAGUCGAACGGUAGCACAGAGAGCUUGCUCUCGGGUGACGAGUGGCGGACGGGUGAGUAAUGUCUGGGAAACUGCCUGAUGGAGGGGGAUAACUACUGGAAACGGUAGCUAAUACCGCAUAACGUCGCAAGACCAAAGAGGGGGACCUUCGGGCCUCUUGCCAUCAGAUGUGCCCAGAUGGGAUUAGAUAGUAGGUGGGGUAACGGCUCACCUAGGCGACGAUCCCUAGCUGGUCUGAGAGGAUGACCAGCCACACUGGAACUGAGACACGGUCCAGACUCCUACGGGAGGCAGCAGUGGGGAAUAUUGCACAAUGGGCGCAAGCCUGAUGCAGCCAUGCCGCGUGUAUGAAGAAGGCCUUCGGGUUGUAAAGUACUUUCAGCGGGGAGGAAGGGAGUAAGGUUAAUAACCUUAUUCAUUGACGUUACCCGCAGAAGAAGCACCGGCUAACUCCGUGCCAGCCGCCGCCGUAAGAC
rnacentral:rRNA from 1 species